UGUCAAGCUAGGCUGAUUCCUCUUAAAGAUCAACUCUGAACCAUCAUCAUUGUUUACCCGAACAUCUUGAUGUUCAAGUUCAUUUUUCAAAUUAUCUACUUGAGAGGAAUUUAUGUCUCUCUCACUCAUGCUGCAGUCCUUGAGCUUUUCGUCCACCAUGUUCACAGCUGAUUUAAUAUGAGAAAAUCCCUCAUCAAGUAAACUCG
rnacentral:misc_RNA from 1 species